AAUGAGAUAAGACCCAUCUCCUUCUUCUCUUCACGAUUAAGUAUUGAAAGCCAAAUUUAGUGUUGCUUCUUCUUUUACUUGCUGCUCAAUUUUACAAUCCCAAACUUGAUUUAUUAAAUUUAGCCCCAUGAGCUUAUCCCCUCCAGCAAAAAGACAAAAGCCACCUCGUAAUUUCUUCUUCCUUCACGGUUAAGAACUGAGAAAAAUGAGCAAAGUCAGAAUUUGCUUCUUUCCCAUUUGUUGUUCAAUUGUUUCACUAAUCUUCACAUUUUCUAGCAAUUUUAUGUUUAUCAAUCCACAUGACAAACUCUAUCUUUCUUCUUCUUUUAAAUUCUAGCAAUAAUACUCCAAAGAUAUUAAACGUCACCACCUUUACCGUCUCUUGCUCGAGGCGACCAAGUUAACGGCUGCCGCGAACUUCUCCUCCCUCCUUUCGUGGUUUUGUUCUUGCCAAAACCACAUAAGACCCAACUCUUGAGCUUGCUCUUACGAAUACCCAAAUCGUGGCAAUGAGAAACUAAUGAUGGAGGUUGAGAGUUCGGAUGAUGAUUAUUGGAGAAUAAAUGAGGUUACGACUUUUCGGUCAUGCAAUGCAUGUACCCAUGGGGCACCAGCCCAAUUAUGUCGAGCACCUGAUCUAUGUUAUGGGCACCUACCCAUCGCGGAAGACGUUCCGCCAUGUCAUACUGUCCAGCGACUAGCAUGUCCAUCAAAAAGGUUAUGAAUACAUGAAUUCUAUUGAAGGACUUAUGAGAACUCACAAGGAUACUAUAUGGAUGAGUUUUACGAUAUACUGAAAUGUAUGAUUGAUUGUAAAAUGUCUUACCAUUGUACAAGAUAUGCAUGAUUGUUGUUCUUGUUAUUCUGUUAAUUUAUAAGAAAUGUAAAAUUGAUCUGUUAUGAUUGAGUAAUGGCUUCCCUGAGGAUAAUGGCCCAUUCCUGAUAUGGAGCACUAACUUAGCACUGGCUCCCCCUGAUAGUAGGAAAUGUCCUAUCCCUGUUAAAUGUUUAAUAAUUAUGGUUAUUUUAUUUAAGUGUUACGAAUGAAUGAUUAUGAAAUGUGCCAAUGUGCUAUGAAUUUAUAUGAGGUAUAAAGUUGUUCUGAAA